rnacentral:rRNA from 1 species
GGGUUGUGAGGUUAAGUGACUAAGCGUACACGGUGGAUGCCCUGGCAGUCAGAGGCGAUGAAGGACGUGCUAAUCUGCGAUAAGCGUCGGUAAGGUGAUAUGAACCGUUAUAACCGGCGAUUUCCGAAUGGGGAAACCCAGUGUGUUUCGACACACUAUCAUUAACUGAAUCCAUAGGUUAAUGAGGCGAACCGGGAGAACUGAAACAUCUAAGUACCCCGAGGAAAAGAAAUCAACCGAGAUUCCCCCAGUAGCGGCGAGCGAACGGGGAGCAGCCCAGAGCCUGAAUCAGUGUGUGUGUUAGUGGAAGCGUCUGGAAAGGCGCGCGAUACAGGGUGACAGCCCCGUACACAAAAAUGCACAU